GGGGUUGUAGCUCAGUUGGUUAGAGUGCCGGCCUGUCACGCCGGAGGUCGCGGGUUCGAGCCCCGUCAACCCCGCCA
rnacentral:tRNA from 4 species